UGCCCGGCUUCUGCCAGGGGCCCAGCCCCCAUGCGGAGAGUGCCCUGCGGCGGCCUUGGAACCCAGAAACAACUCGGAUAAGGGCACUGCUCCUGACCGUGGGCUGACAGUGGUGGGGAGCAAGAGGUAUGGCCAGAGAGAAGGGGACUCUGAGGUAGACAGAACUGCGGCAGGCAGAGGUACACUCAAGAGUCAUCCCAUACUGCAGUCCUGAUAGCCAUCGUGACCUUCCUGACCGUCCAGGGCGGCAGCCACUCCAGCUCCCCAGGUACUUGCUGCAGUGGACUCUUCAUCCCAGUCAACUGCAGGUGAGACCCUGGCGAACUGUGAGGCCCCUGCAGGUCAUGGGUGCCUCGAGCCCCACUUGGUCACUCACGGAGCGGAGGGCUGAAGGAACAGGGACAGUACAGGAAGAAGCUGCCGCCCCUGGAGCAAGGGGCAGAAGGGAAGGGGUUGAUGUCACUGGAAGGCUAGAAGCCAGCAUGAGGGGCGUUGAACAUCCAGAGCCCUGGAUCUCUGAGGAGGGGCUGCUGCAAUCUCUCAGGGAAGGAGGGAGCAACAUCAUCAGCUACCAGGGGGACCAGGGCAGGAGGUGAUUUCUGAGGCACCAUCUUCCAGGUCACUAACUCCUUCUUCAGUGGCAUCUACUUGUGGUUUAAUUAAUUUCUUGAGGUUUUUAUUCAAUGACUGUGCUUUCUUUUUUUAACUUCUAAAAUGCUUUUUCUUUUUCAAAUCUUUUCACUUUACUCUUAUCUUUGUGAUUCCCUCUUCUGUAUCUUUUUAUGUCUCUGGGGGCUACUGCAGAGUAGCUUUAUAUCACUAAUGCAAACGAUUUGUAAAUAUCCAUGAGAACUGCUCUCUGAUCUCAGGAGAAUGCAAAGGUGAUGUCAGUCGGUGUUUCAAAGUCCCCGAUUAAGCACAAGAGUAGGAGGUGUUUCUCUUUCUCACCCUCCUCCCUUCCUUACGUGCUGACCCAAGGCCUGGGGGAUAUUCACCUGGGCUCACCUCUGCCGCCUUCAGGACAAGCUGAUGUACCCCCCGGCAGGCCCCGGGAAUCUCCCAGUGACAAGGGAGCCAGGCUGUAGAGCGUAGCCCACAAAGGGGGGGGAGGUCAGGCUUAGAGCCCAGAGUCCUCGAUCCACACCUGGCCUCAGCCACUUGCUAGCUAGUGAUUCAGAACAAGCUACCUAACCCUUGUGUGUCAUGUGGUCCUCAUUUCCUCAUCCAGAGAGUGAGGACAGCAUCCUACCAACCUUGUAGUGCUGUGGAGAGGGUGGGAUGGCUGAGCCCAGGCACACAGCAAACCCUCGCAGCCAUUGCCAAAAAUGAUGUCAUCUGGCCUCUGACAGUUAAGGCCUGGGGAGGGGGUCGUUGACAGGGCCAGCCCUCUCUUUGACAGACCUGCUGAUUUUCCGUGAAGGCAGGCGGUGGCUUCAGUUAGAGAUUGCGGACCCGCCUUCAGCUGGGCCUCCGGGAGUCCUGAACGGGACGCCUGGGGUGACCCUUCGAGAGCACUGGUUUUAGGUGGAUUCUCGGUUCUGCUGUCUCACCUUCUGAGGCCCAUUAACUCCGAGCGCCUCGGAAACCCAGCCCCUCCCCCCACCGUUUUCAAGGCUGUUCCCUCAUGGAUCUCCCUCGUGUCCCUGCACUGAAAUAAUAUAACUAGGCUCUUCUCGUUACACAUUUCCUUGUCUUUCUCCCAAACUGGACUGGCAUCCCUGGAAGGCAGGGGCUGGAUGUCUGAGAGGCACUGCUCCCAGUCCCAGCCAAGGUAGCAGCACCCCGCUCCUCCAACACACACAGAGUGAUUUGGCCGCAGGCCGACCUACCAGCCUGGGUCCGCAAGGAAUUGACGGACCCAGCAAUUGCACUGGUGGCCGUUUAUGCCAAAGAAAUGGAAACGUAACGACGACGGGAAAACCUGUACACGAAUGUUCUCAGCAGAUUCCUUUGUAGAAGCCUAAAAGUGGGAACAAGCAAUACGUUCUUCAGUGGGUGAACGCUUGAACCAACCGUGGCUGAUCCCCGCCAAGGACUAGAGCUGCAAUACAAAGGAAGAACUAACUUAACUAUUGUUGAAACGUGCGACGAUUUGCCUGGCUCUCCAGGGCAUCAUGUGUGGCUUGCUGGGAGGGAAUCCUGCCCAAGCACGCCUGUUCUCCAGGACAACCUGUGGUUGCAGCCAUCAGCCAUCAGUGCCUGCCUCUCUGCCUGCCUGCCUCUCACCUGGGGAGGUCAAGGUGAACCCCGCAGAGAAAGCUCGUGGCUUCUCGAGAAGUGGGCACGAUCAGGAACCAUCCGUCCUGGUGGUUCUCACGCUGGGAGGUGCGUGGGAACACCUGGAAGGCUUCUUCAAGCCCUGGGAAGUGCUGCUGCUGCUGCUGCUUGCUGCUGCUGCUGGUCUGGGGACCCCCACUGUGAGAAGCACUGCUCUAGAGACCUAGAGUGCUGUGUGUGUGCCCCCUGCCCUACCCAGGGCUGGCUCCUUUGCAGGGUCCCUGUGGGCCUGGGAAGUGCCAGGAGGGUGCUAGCUCUCGCGAGAUCAGGAGUUUCCCAUUGAGUAAUGGUCGCCCUUCCCUGCCUGGGGGCACUGCAGGAUGCCAUCCUCAGUCCAGGCAAGAUAAGGUGUCAUGUUUGUACACGUGCUCAGCAGGUUCCAGACUGGGGCUGAUAACAUCUGGACAAGGAGGAGAGGGGGCGGAGAUCAGAUUUGUGUCUGGGCGUGGGGAUGGAAAGGACUCUGACGAGGCAGAGGAGAAAGACCCGAAUGCCGAGCUCGGGGAUGGGAAAGGAACCUGGGCCCUGAGACCGAGACCAAGCCGACUGGGGGGAGCGUGGAGACCAGAAAGGGGCUUGUCUGCCCAGGAAGUGCCCUGACAGUUGUCUGGGCUGUGGGUGUGGCCCGCCCUCCAGCUGGGGGGAAGCUGUCGCCUUUCCUGCCAAAGGUUCCUCACCUAUAGGGUCUCCCAGCUCCUGGGUGAUGCUGCCCGGACAGACCUGCUCAACACCCAACACCACCACCCACCGCUUUGGCCAGUCUUUGCGGUGGAUAGUCUUUGUUCGGCUCCAGGAUGGCCUGCCGUCUAGUUGGAGCGGCAGAGGAAAUGCAGUGCCAGUCACCCGCCACCAUUUGUGCCCGGAAUGAGCAGCUCUGGGACCUCGGCAGCCCAGCAUGCUCUGCCUGUGGACUCAGGUGGCGCAGGAGCCUUUGGCUUUCAUUUCCCGCCUUCCCCUCUUCCACCCCCUUUUCCUGUUGGGUCAUUGGCUUUUCCAACUGGUCCCUGACUGCUUCAAGCUCUCUCUACUCUAAUGAUAGGAGCCCUGAGUCACAUCUCGCUACUGUUUUUUCCCCGCUUUGUCACUUGUCUCUUGACUUUGUGGUUUGGUCGGGCAGAUGAUUUCAGUUUUUAUGUCAUCAGACUUUCCAGGC